GACGAACGCUGGCGGCGUGCUUAACACAUGCAAGUCGAUCGAUGAAGCCUAGCUUGCUAGGUGGAUUAGUGGCGAACGGGUGAGUAAUACGUGAGUAACCUACCUUUAACUCUGGGAUAAGCCUGGGAAACUGGGUCUAAUACCGGAUACGACCAAUCUCCGCAUGGGGUGUUGGUGGAAAGCGUUAUGUAGUGGUUAUAGAUGGGCUCACGGCCUAUCAGCUUGUUGGUGAGGUAACGGCUCACCAAGGCGACGACGGGUAGCCGGCCUGAGAGGGUGACCGGCCACACUGGGACUGAGACACGGCCCAGACUCCUACGGGAGGCAGCAGUGGGGAAUAUUGCACAAUGGGCGCAAGCCUGAUGCAGCGACGCCGCGUGAGGGAUGACGGCCUUCGGGUUGUAAACCUCUGUUAGCAGGGAAGAAGAGAGAUUGACGGUACCUGCAGAGAAAGC
rnacentral:rRNA from 1 species